UGAGAGUUCAAACUACAUAAUAAAGGUAUGUAAAUUAUUUUUCUGGCAGAUAGCAAACCAAUGAUUGGAGGCUACAAAUUCCAGGAUUUAGAUUCAUGCCACAGAAAAUGAAGUUUUCUAACUGACCAGUGUUUGUUAUCCUCCUGGUUCUGUAAGUAUAGACAUUAAGUAAUGUUUGGAAAAACCUUGUUCACAUUAAUGUUUUAAGAUAUGUUGAGAAUCUGCUGUAAUAAUUGAUUUCUAGGUAUUUGAUUUUCUGAACACCUGCAGUACUCCAGACUCUAAGACUUGGGUGAUAAUCUCCUAUCUAUACUAAAUGCAGUAGUUAUAAUGUUUGUGUUCAGUGGAAUCUGUUCUAAACUUUAUAAAAGAAUAAAUAACAUAUUGUAAAAUAGUUUCAUUUUGUUUAAAUAUUGGCAUUUCUAAUAUUUAUACAAUUUGGUUAUAGAUCCUAUUAACAGGAACAUUAUAAAGUAUUAAUGUUGGUUAACGUGUAAAGUUGACAUAUCACAAGAAUUUGAUAGACAAGCACUUCAAGAAAGAAAGUAUGUUGGAAUGUGGUUCGAUACAGUUGUAUUUUACAGUCUGUUAAAACCUUCGAUAUACAACUACUUUUAGAUGUAAUCAAAGGCAUGGUAAAUGAGGAACUGACAAACAUUAAAGCAUUAUUACUCAAAAUAUAAAAAUAGUUAUCUACCAUUUCUGUUGAAACUUUUAAGUUUAUUUUACUUGGUUUUCAAAUUAUGCAACAAAAGUGGUCUGAAAACCUCCACCUUGAAUUGGCAUAACCCUAAACAUAAGUUACAUGAUUUGUAUUUUGCAACAAAACAACUGAAUCAUUUAUCUACUGAAUUUUGAUGCACUGUAACUGAAAGACUUAUUUCAAAACUAUUACUUGAUGGCAUAAUGCAUAUUAAAUUAGCUCCCCAGUGUGACAGCAGUAUGUCUGCAGGUUUACAAUGGGUUUCGAUACCCGUGUUGGCAGAGCACAGAUAGCUCGUUGUGCAACUUUGUGCUUAACUUCAAACAAGCAUAUUAUAUGAAGUGCUUUUGGUGGUACUGCCUCAAAACAUUAUUAGACUUCAAAGCAGUUGCUCAAGAACUCCCUAGUGGCUGAGUGGUAAGUCAAAAGGCUUAUAAUAAAACUAGGUUUCUAUAUAGCAUAGAUAGCUCAUUGUGUAGCUUUACACUUAAAAACAAACAUUGUUGUUCUGGAAUGGUGGGAGAUGGUUCUGUUGAACAGGGAUCAUGAUAUCAAGCAUUAUAAAAAUUAUCCUUGUGAUAUACUGGGUUAUGACGUGCACAUCUGAUAGUGUUUUGUUUGUCAUGUUUUCAGAGAUAAUCAAGGGUAAUAUUGAAAAGUAAGUUUCUAUGUAAUCUAUGUUUGAACAUAAUAUGGACAAAUUCUACCUAUAAGUCUUCUUCAAGAGCAUAUUAACAUUCUUCAAACUACUUAAUCUUACAUAUGAUAGAAGAAGCAAUGAUAAAUUUAAAACUGUCUGACUAUUAAUAUUUUCAUACACUUAAUAUUUCACAGUUUACUUUGUGUCCAUGCAUAUCAGUAUUGUUAUAAGUCAGUUUCUAUGAGACAGUCUAAAACACUUAAUGUAGAAAAUGCUUAAUGUGCUUUAAUUCAAACCUUUCCCACAAAUAUUUGCACAAUUAAUUCAAGGUAGGCACAUCCCAAUACCUUAUUGAGAAAAUUGUGCAUUUUCAGUAAAUAAAACAACAAAGAUGUCUAACAGGCACAAAACCAUGGAACAACAGUCAACAAUAUACUCAAAACAUAUAAAACAUACAUCCACCCAGCAUGGAUUAAUGCAAAACAAACAACACAGAAGGCAUUAGUUACAACAGCCUAUCAAGUAACCAAGAUCCACAUCAGCGGCAUUUCUACACAAAUAUGCAAACUUACAAACAUUGACUGAUAGACUCAUAUAUAUAGUUCACUAAAUUACUUUUCAAAAAAUUGGUAUAAAAUGAUCUAUUUUGUAAAUUAGACUGCUUUUGCAUACCUGAUGAAAUCAGCCCAAAGCACCUUCCACAAGCAAAUAUAAAGUUUAAAAACCAAAACUUGGUGCUACUGUGACGUCAGACGAUGAUGAUAAUGUUCAGGGUGUUAGGGACAUACCAAUACAUCUAUCUGACACAGAGUUUAAAGCUGCUGUUCAGAAUUCUCCAUUGUUUCCAAUAUUUUAAAUUAACGGAACAACAACCAACAAAAGUUUUUAAUGUCACCCUGCUGCAAAGAUUGCUUGAUCAUGGUGAGCAUGAUUCGCUAUCAUAAUGUGGAAAACAUGUUUCUUUUAUGUUAAGUAUGUUACUUUAAACAUAAAACAAAUUGAACAGCUAUAAAGUGAAACAGUGGAUCAAAGUAAACAUGUUCUGUGGAGAGAUGUGAGGAAUAUAAUAACAACAGCAAGCAGUGCACAUAAAGAAACCACAAUCUCUUUAAAUUUUAUAAGGGAACAUUUACUGGUAAUAAAUAUACCAAACAUGGACAUGAGGCAGAAGCAGCAGCAACGAACAUUUUAUUACAAAAUGAUUACUCUUUAUAAGAGAAAAGAAUUUGUGUGUCUGUUGAGGAAAAUGGGUUGUGUGUCAGUCCUGGUGGAUUUUAGAUAGGGACAGAAUUUUAGAAAUUAAAUGUCCAGUGCAUAAUAACAAUUGAACAAACUUAAAUGGACUUUUUUAUUCUGUAAAAUAUGAUGUUUGUAAAAGUGUUGAAGGUACUUUGGUUUUGAAAGUGAAAGGUAGUAGAGGAUUUUAUAUACAGUUAACCAGGUUUUGCACUGGUCUUUAAAAAUGUAAACUUUUUAUAUGGUUAAGUGAAAAAGAUCAUACAUUUUUGAAUAUUAUGAAAACUAAAUUCCUGUUUCUAGAUUGUGUAUGUUUUAAUGUAAGAAAAUGUUACAGUGUAUUGUUGAUAAAACUGGAUAAUACAACUUAGUGUUUAGCAAAGCUUUUAAAAAAACGUAUAGAUCAAUAAAUUUAAAUUCCAGUGCGUGGUUUUUUUCUUUGGUUUAUAGAAAUUCUUUGCAACACUAUGAACUCAACCACGUAUUUGUUGAUGUUUUUUGUAAUUAUCACAUUGCCAUUGACAAUCAGUUGACCAUUACUCUAACAUUGGUAAAUGUAUUUUUAGUGGCCAGGUAAAAUGGUUAUAGAUAAGGUUGUGAUGUUUUAAAUGUAUUUAUUAUUUUUACUAUAUAUUAUUUUAGUUCACACACAUAUAUAUUGUGUUUUGAAACAAGUUUCCAUAAUUCUAAGCAAACUAAGUCUUGUAUUUUAAUUUUUUAUGGUAAUGGUACAGUUCACAUUCAUGUGGUAUCAAUCUCUCUUGAAUCUUUUGAUGUACGUUAACAAGAGAUCCAAGCUUUGUUUAGGAAAUAAAUCUUGUUUUCUGAGGA